GGCCUGGCUGGGCGGUCUGGCCGCAAGGUCAGCACUGCUCUGGUCGGGUCUUUCCUUCUGGGGAGCCAGCGUGCUAUUAAGUUAGUGCGCUGGGGAGCCAGGACUUUUACUUUGAAAAAAUUAGAGUGUUUAAAGCAGGCUUACGCUUGAAUACAUUAGCAUGGAAUAAUGAAAUAGGACGAUCGAUCCUAUUUUGUUGGUUUCUAGGAUUGACGUA
rnacentral:rRNA from 1 species